GAUUUUCUUCAUGAGGACAUUUUGGAAGUCAUUGCCCUAUCAGUAAUCCCAGGCGACGCUCCUGGUCCAUCCUCCACUUCAGGGCAUACUCAAGGUAACAACUCUGAUAACCCUACCUCUAAAGAUGACAUGCAUCAUACUGAUCGUGUCAUUAGAAACUUGGUCACGAGGAUCCUAAAUGAAGGAAACUCAGUCAAGGGAGUUUCGACUCCUCUGUCUAGAAGGGAC
rnacentral:lncRNA from 1 species